rnacentral:rRNA from 13 species
UUGAGAGUUUGAUCCUGGCUCAGAACGAACGCUGGCGGCAGGCCUAACACAUGCAAGUCGAACGAAGCCUUCGGGCUUAGUGGCGGACGGGUUAGUAACGCGUGGGAACGUGCCUUUCACUACGGAAUAGUCCCGGGAAACUGGGUUUAAUACCGUAUACGCCCUUCGGGGGAAAGAAUUUCGGUGAAAGAUCGGCCCGCGUUAGAUUAGGUAGUUGGUGGGGUAAUGGCCUACCAAGCCUACGAUCUAUAGCUGGUUUUAGAGGAUGAUCAGC